AGUCCCCGCCACCCGUGCUAGGCACCCUGUGCGGUCGGGCAGGCAGCCGCUGCCAGCGACCUGGGCCUCUUGUCCUCUGACGCGCCUCGGGGCAGGGGCAGGGGCCGAGGCCGCCCACUAGAGGAACAGGAUCUGCCUACGCAGCUGUCUCGCCCGGCAAAGAGCGCCCAGGACCCGGGACUGCGUCCUCUUCACUGAGACCUGGCGCAUAGGGGGCCUAGUCGAGGCUGUUAAGUGAAAGCAAGCAGGGGUGGCGUGGGCCUGGCGCUCAGGUGCGCCCUAAAUGUUUGGUCAUAGCUGGCUACAAGGACAUUCGCGCAGGCUUGGAGGUGCGGGGCAGCCUGACGUGUUGCCUCUGGGGUAACCGAGGGACGCGCGGCAAACAGAGAUGGAGGACUGGCAACGGGUGCCUCGAAGAGACGGAGUUUCGGUCUCGCAGCCCAGGCUGUAGUGCAAUUGCGUGGUCUCGGCUCACUGCAACCUCUACCUCCAGAGUUCCAGUGAUAAUCCAGCCUCAGCCUUCAAAGUAGCUGGAAUUACAGGCGCACGCCACCAUGCCUGGCUUUUUUUUUUUUUUUUUUUUUUUUUUUUUUUGAGAGAGAGUUUCGCUCUUGUUGCCCAGGCUGCAGUGCAAUGGCACAAUCUCGGCUCACUGCAACCUCUGCCUCCUGGGUUCAACCGAUUCUCCUGCCUCAGCCUCCCGAGUAGCUGGGAUUACAGGCAUGCGCCACCAUGCCUGACUAAUUUUGUAUUUUUAGUGGAAAUGGGGUUUCAACAUGUUGGUCAGGCUGGUCUCAAACUCCUGAACUCAGGUCAUCCACCCGCCUCGGCCUCCGAAAGUGCUGGGAUUACAUGCAUGAGCCACCGCACCCGGCCCUAAUUUUUGUAUUUUUAGUAGAGAUGGGGGUUCGCCAUGUUGGCCAGGCUGGUCUCGAACUCCUGACCUAAGGUGAUCCACCUGCCUUAGCCUCCCAAAGUGUUGGAAUUACAGGCAUGAGCCACCAUGCCUGGCCGGUGAUUUUUUUUUUUUUUUUCCUAACUUGAGUGGGGAGACCUUAACUAAAGGAGCUGAGAGGGGAGAAUGGCAGAUAGAUGUAGGAUAAUUGAUGGUGCAAGAAACCAGAAAAGGAAAAGUAGAUGGGAAGGGGGAAAGGGGUGAGCAAAAAGUCAGAGAAGUCCGCCUCUUCCUACAAGAUUUAAAGAGUGCAUAAAGAUUGAAAUAUUUUGAGGUAGGGAGGCAUGCAUGCUUCCAUGGAUCAGCUGCCUGGAUUACCCUCUACAAUCAUCCUUAGGGCAGCUGGGGUCACUGUCCUUUAAAAUUUAAGUACAAUUGACUCCAAACCUGUGUACCACUUAAGAAACCCAGCAUACCUGCCAAUAUCUCCAGAGUUUCAUUGGGAACUUACAUUUCUCCUAAUUAUCUCAGGCCCUAAUUUCUUGUUUGCAAAAAAUAUUGUGCUCUUUGGAAGAUUUGUCACCAUAUCCCAGAUAUUAGUCCAUUUAUAUUACCUCAAAAUAUUGCACCCUACCUAUAAGCAGGAAAAAUGCCCAAUAUUAUAUUAUUAUAUUAUAGUUAUAUGAUUGUUAAAUAAACUAGAGUUUGUGGCCAUUAAAAAUCAUGGUAAAUAAAAAGAUUUAAUGAUGUGGGAAAUCUUUAUAAUUAAAAGCACAUUAUAAGGUGAUAUAGCAGAUGGUAAUAUAUAAAUAUACAUAAAUAAGUAUAAUGCGUAGAUUUUAAAAUGAGACUUUUCUUCUGUGACAUCUAUAUUUUCUUAUUUUUAUAGUGCAUGUAUAUUUCUCCUGGAAGCAGGGAAAUGGUAUCUUUAAGUAGCUUUUAAAAG
rnacentral:lncRNA from 1 species